AGAGGGAAAGAAAGGGAGGGGUUGGAGCAGCGAAAGUACGCACGCUGGGGGGAGGAGGAGGAAACGGAGCAGCCGGUCACACCUUCCAGAGCUCCCGGGUCCUGGCCCGGGCUCCCCUGGUAGCCAGAGCUGGGGCUCAGGCAAGGAGUCGGGCACAGGUGGUAUCGGUAUGUUCCGAGAAGUCCACAGCACAAAAGACGGAGCUUUAGGGGGAAGCUGCGUUUCUCUUUCCUGCUUUUGGGAAAGGUUCGGUUAAUCAACAGCCGUGGCGUCGAGUGCCUGCCACGUGCAGACGCCGCGAGGCACGAAGCUGCGGUGCCACCCUGUCCCGGCCUCUGGGGCACUCAGCACCCCCCGGGGACGGCGUUGGUUAUUUUCCAUCUCCUAUGCUUCCUAGAAGUGUAUUCUGCACUGAACGGGCAGACCAGCUAUCGCUGAUGAACAUUUGAAGAAAUGAAGCUACUUACAUUGAGAUUUUUUUAAACAAAAAUGCAGAUUUGAAUAGUUAACAUUUUAGUUUCGCAAAUGAGAAAGUUUUGGAGAUUAGGGUCAAAAAAUGCGAAUGUCCUUAAACUCCUGAACUGUACACUUAAAAAGUGGCUAAGGUGGUGGGUGAGUUUUAGGUUACAGUAUAUGCAUCUUACUAGAGUGAAAAAAUUUAAGUGGAAUACUAGAAAUAUAGGACGACUGUGGCUUUUGAAACGUUAAAACAAGGUGGAAAACUAAUUUUCCAAUAUUAGUGUUCUUAUUGAUGUCGGCUAUUUGUGUUUUUUCAACACAAACUAAAUCACACUGCCUGAAACAACCUCUUACUCUGAAAGCAAGUGACAUGAAAAUAGAACUGCUGAGAAGACAUUUCCUCCUGCUGCAAUUUCGCCAAACAGCUGAGUACGACUGGGAAGAAUCCUUAGAUUUUAACCAGGCACAGCUAUUUCCUAGGAUCCCAAAUUGAAAUGCUGCGGUGGGGCAAUUCCCCAUAGCACACAGGGAAGCCACGUACUGCUGAUACAUCUGAGCCCUGACUGCGUGUUAGAAUCACCUGAAUGCCUUUAAAAUUCCCCAGACCUCGAGCUGCAACAGACCAAUUAGAAUCCCUGGAAUGGGACCUGGGCAUCAGUAUUUUUUAAAGCUUUCCAAAUGAUUACAGUGUGCAGCCAGUGCCAAAAGCCACAGCUUUAAACCAACAUUUCUUGGUGGACUAGUUGCAAAUGAUUUUGCAAACAUGAAUGUUUGCUGUUGAGUUUUGUAGCCUUUUGGUCUCUGCAGCACCUGUGACUCUCCGCGCACACCACCUCUGCUGCUCACUUUUGUUCCUGAUUUCCAGUGUCACAAGCACUGUGAAGGCUGAGUGCUGAGCAGUGUGCUCAGCUCCCUGGACUUGUGGACCCUCAUUGUCAGGGGGGAGCUUUGCUGGGGGAAACUACAUCACAUCACAAAACCCCAAAUCGAGGCCACUUUCCAAAAUCCAGCAAGAAAGUUUAAAACCAAAGUUAGAACCAAAACAUGAUGUGAGGGCCGGGGAUUUUAAGCUCAGUGGUUUGGCACCUUCGUUGGAUGGGCAAGGUCCCGAGUUCGAUCCCCGCUACAAAAAAAACCCCAAAAUAGAUACUGUGGAAUAUUAAAACAGAUCUGAUGAUUCCAUGAAUGAAUGUUUCCCAUUAUAAAAUAGUGCUAUUCUGAGAUAAGAUUUUUGUGCAACCAUGUAGUAAUUAACUUUUUUGAUAUAUAACAUGCUAUAUGGUUUAGAUCUAAAAUUCUCUGCCAGAUUCUCAGUGUUCAGAGGUGGGUCUUAUAGAAUGUCUGAGUUCAUCCAUUCCUGAAUGAAUAGCUGAGUGCAGGUAGGAGAUCUUGAAGGGUGAUGUUCUUGUGCUUGCUCCUCUCUUCUCUCCUGCUUGCUGACUGCCAUGGGAUUGAGCAACUGUCCUCUUUUAGUAUAUGUGCCGCCGACAUCAGCACUGAGCAACUGUCCUUUGCCAUGCUCUUCCCACCAUGGCACUUCUGCCUUGGAGCCAGCCCAACCAUGGACUGAACCCACUGAAAACCAAUCCAUGUCAAUGCAAUUAGAAAUGAAAAAGACAAAAUCACAAUGGGACAGUACUAAAAAUCCAGGAGAUUACUAGUAAUUUAAAAACAUGUUCUCUAAUAAAUUGGAGAAUCUAGAAAUGGGACAGAUUCCUACAUACAUGAAUUACCAAAACUAAAAUGUAAAAAGCCUGAAGAGUUAAAAACAGGCAAAAACUGCUGCUGUAAUAACCUAAGAAAGGCCAGGACCCAGUGGAUUUACCAGUGAGUUUUAUAAGAACUUUGGGGAAGAUCUAAUGCUAAGUCCUCAAACCCUUUAAUGAAAUUGAAAGAGUACUGCCAAACUCAUUCCUGGAAGUCAGCAUUUCUAAAGCCAGACAAGGACCACGGGGGAAAAACGUACAGGCCAAUCUCUUCAAUGAACACAUAGACACAAAGUCUCCAAGAUACUAACAGAUUGCAAAAAACACAUUAAAAUGAUCAUAUAUCAUGACCAAGUGACUUCAUCUCAGGGAUGCAGGGAUGGUCCAACAUACACAAAUCAACUACCAUAACAUCGCAAACAGAAGCAAGGAAAAAAUCACAUACUCAGAUCAGUGCAGCAGAGGUGUUUGACAAAAUUCAAUAUUUAUAUUAACCCUAAAGAUAUAGAAGGACCCUAUCUAAACCUGAUAGAAAUCAUUUCACAAACCUACUGCCAACAUAUUAAAUGGGAAAAAGCUAAAAGCUUUCCCUCUAAAAUCAGAAACAAGACAAGGAUGUCCACUAUCGCCGCUCCUGAUCCAAUAUAGUGCUCAAAACAAUUAGAGCAAUUAGGCAAGAGGAAAAAAAGGAGAGGAAGUCAAUUACCGUUACUUGCAGAUGACAUGAUUCUUUACAUAGACCCAAAAAUUCCACCAAAAGGCUCCUAGAAUUAAUAAUGAAAUUCAGUGUAUAUCAGGAUACAAAAUCACACAAAAAUCAAUACCAAGAAUACAUUCUUUUCAGCUACACAUGGUUUGUACUCCAAAAUGGACCACAUACUUGCUCAUAGAACAUAUUUAAUUGCAAAGGAAUUGAAGUUAUCCCCUGUAUAUUAGAUCAUAGUGUGAUGAAAUUGGUCAAUAGCAAAAGAAACUGCAAGAAUUUCAUAAACACAUGGAAAUUGAACACACUUCUGAAUAACCAAUGGGUCAGAGGAAAUUAAAGAAACAAGACAGUCUCUACAAUUAAAUGACAAUGGCAGUACAACAUAUCGGAAUCUAUGGGACACAAUAAAAGCAGUCUUACGAGGGAAAUUCAUAGCAGUGAAUACUCACAUUAGGAAAACAGAGCAAGCUCAAAUAACCUAAUGCUGUGAACCUCAAUCUUCUAGGAAAAAAGCAGGAAAAACCCAAAGCGUCAUACAAGGGAGGAAAUUAUAAAGAUCAGAGCAGAAAUCAGUGCAAUGGAGACUAAGAGAAUCAUAGAACAAAAAAUCAGUGAAGCCAAGAGUUGGUUCUUCAAAAAGAAUAAAAUUGAAAAACCCUUAGCCAACCUUAUCAAAAAAGGAAAGAAAUGACCCAAAUCCAUGCAAUUAGGACUGAAAAGUGUGAAAUUACAAUGGACCCAGUGGAAAGCCAGAGGAUCAUCAAUACCUACUUUGAGAAGCUGUACACCGAUGAGAUGGAAAACACAGAAGAAAUGGACAGAUUCCUAGAUACGUAUGAAUUACCAAAGUUGGACGAAGAUCUAAAAAUUCUAAACAACCCAAUAUCAAUGAAAUUGAAAAUGUAAUUAAAAACUUACCAACGAAGAGCCCAGGUCCUGAUGGCUUCACUGCUGAAUUCUACAAGACAUUUACAGAAAAGCUAUUGCCACUACUGUUUAAAUUCUUCAAUGAAAUUGAAAGGGAAGCAAUACUCCUGAAUUCAUUUCUGGAAGCAAGUAUCACUUUGUUCCCAAAAGCAAAGACCCAACCAAAAGAGAGAACUAUAGGCCAAUCUUACCAAUGCACAUACAUGUAAAAAUCCUCAAUACGGUACUGGCAAAUAGAAUGCAGAAGAUCAUCAAGAAGAUCAUGUACCCUGACCAAGUGGAAUUCAUUUUAGGAAUGCCAGGGAUGCACGUCAAUCAAGGGUAAUACACUAAUAUCAAUAGAGCCAAGGACAAAAACCAUAUGAUCAUCUCAAUAGAUGCAGAAAAAGCAUUUGACAAAAUCCAACACCCGUUCAUGAUAAAAACCCUACAGAAAACUGGAAUAGAAUGUCUUUAUCUUAACCUGAUAAAGCCAUCUGAGAAACCAACAUCAUACUAAAUGGUCAAAAACUGAAAUCCUUCACACUAGAAUCGGGAACAAGACAAGGAUGUCCACUUAUCACCACUCCUGUUCAAUAUAGUUUGGGAAACAGCCACAGCAAUUAGACAAGAGAAAUAAAAGUACUAGAUAAGGAAACAAGUUAAAUUUUCAUUAUUUGCAGAUGACGUGAUACUCUAUAUGGAAGACCCCAAGAACUCCACCAAAAGUCUUCUAGAUUUAAAUUCAGUAGAGUAUCUGGAUACAAGUUCACACAAAAAUCAGUAGCUUCCCUGUACAUGAACAGAGGAACUGGAUAAAUAACUCCUUUCACAAUAGCAUCCAAAAUAUGAAAUACCUAGGAAUCAGCCUAAUGAAAGAAAUCAAAGACCUCUACUCUGAAAAC
rnacentral:lncRNA from 1 species